rnacentral:rRNA from 1 species
GACGAACGCUGGCGGCGUGCUUAACACAUGCAAGUCGAACGGUGAAGCGGUGCUUGCACCGUGGUUUAGUGGCGAACGGGUGAGUAAUACGUGAGUGAACUACCUUUGACUCUGGGGUAAGCCUUGGAAACUGGGUCUAAUACCGGAUACGACAAAUCACUGCAUGGGGUGUUGGUGGGAAGCGUUAUGGAGUGGUUUUAGAUGGGCGCAGGGCCUAUCAGCUUGUUGGGGAGGUAAUGGAUUACCAAGGCGACGACGGGUAGCCGGCCUGGGAGGGUGACCGGCCACACGGGGCUUGGGACACGGCCCAGACGCAAACGUGAGGCAGGAGUGGGGAAUAUUGCCAAAGGUGCGCAAGCCGGAUGCAGCGACGCCGGGUGGGGGAUGACGGCUUUCGGGUUGUAAACGCAUGUGAGUAUCGAAGAGGCGAAAGGGAGGUAAGGAGAAAAGAAAGAGCGGCUAAAUUACUU